CCACAAAUGGCCGACAUUAACAUUGCUGACGUCACGUGAAAACGCCCUAUAUUAUCUAUUUCUACUUGCCUAAUAAUUGUUGCUGCUUUUUUUCAAACAUGACCUUCGGUAGAAAAUGUCUUCAGAUCACUGGAGUGUUUUGUGGUUAUUUGAGUGAGAAACAAUCACUCUCCGAAAUAAAAAUCCAAGCAACCACCCUGCUUUUAGGGGUAUAUUGUAUAAUUUUUCCGGCACGUCUUUCUUUCUUUUUCUACCUCGAAAUUGAAAAGAGCGACAGCGGAUAGUUUAAAUUCAAUUAUCGUAACCUUUUAAUAAUAAGCAAAGCGAAGAAUGUAUUAUUAAUAUAGGAGGAGAGAGAUCUCGGCUCAAUGGAUCACAAUUGCUCGAAUAAGUUUCUACUUAGGAUUAGGCAAUCAUUGCAGUUUGUACGGUAUAUUUCUAUUUAUGUAUGUUUAUAGUAUUUUACAGUUUCAGGAGUUAAUCGAUUACUAGUUCUACAGCCUGACUCCCACGCAUUAGAAAAAAAAAAGAAGUUGUGUUGCCGCAACCUGUACAAUGUUGUACAUUUUUGUUAUUAUUUUGUAAUUAUUGAAGAAUUAACUGUAUGAAUCUACAUUCAUUUGAAAAAAUUUAAAAUCUCUUGGGAUACUUACUGGAACCUAAUAGAAAUGGAGCAUAUAUAUAAUUCAGAAAUCAAACAAAAUACAUAUUGGUUAUUGUGAUAAUACGAAUACAAUGGAUUUCAAUUAAAUAUUUUGUAAGGGCCCUUUUCUCUCUCUUUAAAUGUUCAUUUAAUUUGUCUAAUGGAGUUGCACUAAUUAAGUAUAAUUAAAUAUUAUUGUAUUUAACUAAUUGCACCUAGAAAUUGUCUUUGAAGGCCAUAUACAUAUUGUAUAUUUCUUUCUAUGAGUAACCAUGAAUCGAACCUAGCACAUUGAUUUCAAAAUAAUUAUUCCUUUCGAGUGGAUUCUCCAAGAGCUACGCCACUUCAUAUAUUUGUUAUCAAUUACUGUUUUAACUGCAUAUAAUUUAGUCACUAUCGGUACUACCCGGCAUUACUGCAGGUUAUUAUGCGUCGACCAACAGACAAAUUUUGAUAUCCAUGACCUGGUGUAUUUUCGUGUAAUCGCGUUAACGCCGUCCGGUAUAUUAAGCAACAAUAAAUCAAAAAUUAAUGUUAUCACCACAUCGAGAUAAAAUACAUUGACUUAGCUUAUAGAAUGAUGAUGCCAAAUAAUAUAUUAUCAUGGACAUCUCUAGCUAUCUGGACUACAUACAUACAGAAGAAUAAAAAAACACACCGGCUCCAAUAGACGGCUUAUUUUUAAAAUUGAUAAGUCAUUGUUUUCAUUAGUGAAAGAUACUUAUAGCUUCAGGAUUCCGAUCGUGACUCUUAAGUUUAAGGUGAUAGGAUAGAAGUGCUGUACUCCGGAUGCCAUCAAGGUUAUAAAGGCACCCCUAAGAUUCUAUGUCAUAGUUUUCCUAGUUUCAAUAUGUCUCAUAAUCCGGAUCUUGAAUCCAAAUGGGAGAAAGCUGUUCUAAGACAGGAAUUGGUCGUCAAUUUAAUCGGUAACUGGAACUAAGGAGACUGAAAAGGAUGCUGUGCCUUGAGUGUGGCAAAUCUUCGGCUCUACCUCUCUUCUCCUCCGACUCUUCCUAGACCCAUCCAAAUAUCCACUAGUUGUCGACUACUCCUGCUCAAAAACUAGGGUCAGGAAAGCCUUGGAGCUCAAAAUGUUCGGGGAAGAAGAGGUGCUAAACAUUAACUAGCUUUAUGAUAAGUUUUUACUUGAAACAUUACCUUUGAGAUUUAUACUAAUUAAAUCCCCCAAAUUGCCCCUUAUUAAGUUGGAAGCAACUGAAGGCAGGGCCUUGAUAUAAAGGCUAGCCUUGAAAUUUAAGAAGACCUUACCUCUCGAAUUUUUCAUGGGUAUCAUAAGCUAAGAAAUAGUUCAGUCUCUCACUAUCUUACAACAAAGACUAAUGUCGUCAAAUCUGUAACUGAAGUAAUGAACAUUGCUGCUUAUUUAGGAUCAAAAAAAGUUCUUGAAUAAUGAAGAGACUUAUGAAAUCAUCAUGAGCUUAUUGAAAAAACUACUUGCAUCCCCAGAAAUGGAACAGAUGACAUUACUCUUCAAAAAACUCAACAGAGCGAGAUGUUUACCUUGUCUUCUGUGGCAAAAUGUUAGUACAGCCCUCUAUGAUCAAAUCUUCAAGUCGAUUUCCUUACAGUUCUAUGUCCCAAAUAUCCUAGAACUCUGUCUACUGCAGAGACUGCCGUAGAGACUGGACUACCCUCAUCCAUAGUUAAAUAUCUUGGAACAAGUAUCAAACAACUUAACAUCAGAGAGUGUAAUGCCAAUCUUAUAAUCGAUGAGUUCUACUCUGCAGAAAGAUUCGAGUCUGUUACAGGUAAGUUCUUGGGCUGCUAAAACAACCAAACAACUUAAACAGUCCUUACAUAUAUGAUCAAAUCCGUUGGAGGAAACUACAUGGAUGUGGUAGCACUUAUAUUGUGUGCCAAAUUAAACGGCAAGAAUACUUCAGCAUUCACCUGAGCCGUCUAGGAGUUAAAUCAUCAUUACACCCUAAAUUUGCUCAUAUCAAAGAAAUCCACCAUAAAGACUCAAGAAAGAGCUCAGAAACUAGAAUCGAAGUAAUAGUUGAUACUGUGUGUGAACAAGGUGACAAAUGGACAAGCAUUCUUGGCAAGAUUUCACAAACACUCUUGAACGUGAUGGGCAAAAAUUUGUUUUAUCAUUCAAUGACAACAUCCGACAGGGAGGUAUAAAAAGACAUCUGAAAGUAAGCUCAAAUCUAGAAAGGUUGUCAAACUUCAAUCUGAUAAUGUUUAAGUUAUGAACAUUAAUUUUGCUGGUGUGUGCAUCUAUUUUUGAAAUAAUAAAAGUAAAUCAAAGUGAUAUAUUGCAGCUUAUUUAGUAUUAAUUGUCCUAUUAUUAAUAAAUAUUUAUAAACUUUAAAUCAUACAAUCUGUAUUGAAAAACCAUAUGAAUAUACAUAUCUUUAUUAAAAAAAUAACCUAUUCGUGAACUUCUAAGCCAUCCCUUGGAGCGCGCUUUUUCUAGGCUAGAAGAGAACGAUAGAAAAGAAUAGAAAAAAAAAUAUCUACCUUAAUGCAGCAGUAAAGUAUUGAAAUUUAUGUAUUAAACUUUUUUUAUUUCGUUUAGUUUUGAAAUC
rnacentral:lncRNA from 1 species